UACGUAGGGUGCAAGCGUUUAAUCGGAAUUACUGGGCGUAAAGCGUGCGCAGGCGGUUUUGUAAGUCUGAUGUGAAAUCCCCGGGCUCAACCUGGGAAUUGCAUUGGAGACUGCAAGGCUAGAAUCUGGCAGAGGGGGGUGAGAAUUCCACGUGUGAGCAGUGAAAUGCGUAGAGAUGUGGAGGACACCGAUGGCGAAGGCAGCCCCCUGGGUCAAGA
rnacentral:rRNA from 1 species